GCAUGGCAGCGCACACCCGCCACAUCCCUGCCAGAGGCUGCUGUCCCACUGUCCCUGCCAGAGCCGGGCGGCCCAGACACACCCCAGGAGAACAGGCAAAAGGAGAACUCAAUGCACCAGCAUGAUCCCUUGUCUAGAAGGGACCAAGCAGCAGAAGUGUAGAAAAAGCAGGAACGGAGUAGAGGCAAGAAAUAAGAAGACGUUUAGUUCCUGUAAACGUCACGUGAAGUCGUGGCCUGAAGAAGUUGCUGCCCAGAAGGUGACCUCAGCGGGGGGUGAGGGGAGCGUGGACACCCUGGGCCCAGCAGCUGAGUGACUUAACACCCAAAAAAGUCACAAGGCGCUGAAGGGACAGAUCUGAUCCAUGCAUGCAGGUUAAGUCCACGGCAGGAGUCCAGCCCAGGAUCUCACAGUACAGCAUGGCUGCCAGAUCCCCAAUCAUCAUGUCCUGUCUUCCAGCCAGCAGAAGAAAGGAAGGAUAAAGGAAAAGGAGACCAAGAGCACCUACCAGCUAUCUUUUCAGGAAGUUUCCAGGAAUCUGCUACUUCUCUCUGGCCAGAACUUGGGCACAUGGCCUCACCUCGAUGUGAGGCUAGGGAGUGUUUUUAUUCUAGAUGACCCUGUGGCCAGCCAAAAAUCAAGGAGUUUGCUCCUAUGGAAGAAAGGAGGGUGGGUAUUGGAGGACAGCUAGUGAUCUCUGCCACAUUGGAAAGUUUCUUGGCCAUUUUCAUUUUACCACCUAAGAAUCAUCUUUCCAGUACUCUCCUUUUCCUAUUGUAUGGGUUACCCUUGUCUUAGUUUGAGUUAUCCUUCGUAUGGGGGACUCACUACUUACCAAACAAUCUGUAACAAC